CCUACGGGGGGCAGCAGUGGGGAAUAUUGCACAAUGGGGGAAACCCUGAUGCAGCGACGCCGCGUGAGUGAAGAAGUAUUUCGGUAUGUAAAGCUCUAUCAGCAGGGAAGAAAAUGACGGUACCUGAUUAAGAAGCCCCGGCUAACUACGUGCCAGCAGCCGCGGUCAUCCGUAGGGGGCAAGCGUUAUCCGGAUUUACUGGGUGUAAAGGGGGCGUAGACGGCAGCACAAGUCUGGAGUGAAAUGCCGGGGCUUAACCCCGGAACUGCCUUGGAAACUGUGCAGCUAGAGUGCAGGAGAGGUAAGUGGAAUGCGUAGUGUAGCGGUGAAAUGCGUAGAUAUUAGGAGGAACACCGGUGGCGAAGGCGGCUUACUGGACUGUAACUGACGUUGAGGCUCGAAAGCGUGGGGAGCAAACAGGAUUAGAUACCCCUGUAGUC
rnacentral:rRNA from 1 species